CGCUGGCGGCGUGCCUAACACAUGCAAGUCGAGCGGGGACAGUGCGACGGAUAGGAAGUUUCGGAUGGAAUUGAAGAUGUAUGUUCUAGCGGCGGACGGGUGAGUAACGCGUGAACAAUCUGUCCUUCACAGGGGGAUAACACAGCGAAAGUUGUACUAAUACCGCAUGAGACCACGGUGGGGCAUCCCACAGGGGUCAAAGGAGCAAUCCGGUGAAGGGUGAGUUCGCGUCCGAUUAGAUAGUUGGUGAGGUAACGGCCCACCAAGUCGACGAUCGGUAGCCGACCUGAGAGGGUGAUCGGCCACAUUGGGACUGAGACACGGCCCAAACUCCUACGGGAGGCAGCAGUGGGGAAUAUUGCACAAUGGGCGCAAGCCUGAUGCAGCAACGCCGCGUGAGGGAAGACGGUUUUCGGAUUGUAAACCUCUGUUCUUAGUGACGAAGAAGUGACGGUAGCUAAGGAGCAAGCCACGGCUAACUACGUGCCAGCAGCGGC
rnacentral:rRNA from 1 species